rnacentral:snoRNA from 1 species
UGCAGAUGAUGUGAAAGAAUAUUUGCUAUCUGAGUGACGGUGCUGACAACAUCACCACCAAGAUCGCUGAUGCA